rnacentral:rRNA from 1 species
AUGGUCCUCCUCGGCGGACCGCGGCGGAGCGGCCGAGCAUCUGGAGACCGGAACGAGAAGCGGCAGCUCCAGGGCUUGGGAAAUGAAGAGCUAGACUCCUUCUCGGAGGAGGUUCAACGCCGGCCAGAGGUAAAGAUCGUUAACAAGUAUGUGGUGGUCAUGGCAUUCAUCCGUAUUGGCCUCAGAGGCGUCGGCGCCGUGGCGCUCUUGUGGGCCACCGUCGUCCUUCUCGGCGGCUUCGUCUCCGAUCUGAAGGGGUUCGAUUUUCGGAAUCUGACAAUCAUCGCAUUCGUGCAGGCUGCCGGGCUAUUGGACACGAUGGGAGAUGCUCGCUUUGAGUUCUUUCGCGAAUGGCUUCUUUCCCUUCUAUUGAACAAUGAAUCUUGGGGAGAAAAAUAUAAUAUCCAGAUGCCUAUGGGACAAUGGGGCUUCGACAGACAAACACGCAUAUUCAUAUCAAAAAUAAUAGACAUCAUUUUGAUCGUGAUAUUUUUGCCAGUGGUGUACUUCGCUCUUGCUGGACCAGUUCUAUGCUUUGCGCUAUCGGCGGCUCGCGUAGAAAAGCAAGAUUAUGGCAUCGCCGAUGGAGAUGCAACCAAAGCAAGUAUGAAGCCGGCACUGAACCUAUUCUACUACGUAUCGAUUGUUCACAGUGCAAUUUAUGUGGCGUACAUGAUAACCGAAUGGAUUGCUGAUGAAGUGUUGGUGUGGAGAGUUAGCCAGCUACAUGGCUUCAGCCCUGAAAUACUUGGUGGAUACCUGCAGGAGACCAAGCAGAUGUGUGCAACCAACCCCGGGUCCACGAAGAGCUGGAAUUUGAUCACGUAUGGUGCAGGCCUGCUGGAUUCCCAGUUACCGGAGGACUAUGCGUCCGGAGGAAGGGCACUGACAAUGCUGAUUGAUCAGGGCAUACCGGUAGUACAGAUAACACAGCUGCUUAUUACAUCACCGAGACAGAGAAUUCAGAAGCUGAUCGGAAGUCUUGCUUGGAGAAGCCCGGCCGAACGGGAGAUGAGAUGGCUCGCGGCGAGGAUAGUGGAGCAUAUCGCUGGCCACCUCAACCUCGCUCAGUUUCCAGGCGCAUUAGAAUGCAUAUCCUCCCUCCUUGAGAGCUCCUACGGUGAUCAAGAAGCUCUCCAUUUGCCUUUUGUAAUUGGGCGUAGCAAGCAGAGGAACAGGAGAAGUUGGAUAAAGCGACUUUUAGCGCAGGAAGAUAAAUAUGGUAACCUGAAAGUUCCGGAAAGCCCCUUCGGGAUCAUGUUUGGCUCCUCGCUCAAACUGAUUCGCAAGAUACAUGGUGCUUCGGAGAAUGAUGGCGCCCUAGAGCAACACAGCGAGAACGGUGAAGCAACUGACGAGGAUCUGGUUUUGCCAGGCUUGAGAAUUCUAGAGAAGUUGGCUCACGAUAGGCAUAACUGCACACUGAUAUUCAACACCCAGGAUCUCCUCUCAAAAUUAGUUGCGCCUGUCAGCUCCGACAACCUUGUGCAAGAUAUCAAGGGCAACGCUGGGUGGACAAAGGUAGUAGACGGAUCACUGAAAGUGGUGAGCAGGCUCAUGUGUUCGCGUGGAAGCACCGGCGAAGGGAUGUGCAGCCUAAUUGCAGGCGAUCAAUAUGCAGCCAACAACUUGGUGGCUGUUCUGAACAUGGAUAGGAAGUGUAACAGCAGCAAAAUCAUGGAAUCCGAUGGUUCAUCGGUCGAGGAGUAUGGACCGACAGAGCUUGAUGAAAUGAUUCAAAAGGAGUAUGGAUCGGCAGAGCUUGAUGAGAUGAUUCAAAAUGAGUUCUUCGAUUCAUUGGAUUCUGACGAAGAAGUCGAGAUGAUGAUGCUCAUGAGCAUCAAUGGACCGGGAGAUGGAGCACAUGCUCAACUUCAAGGGCUCAAUCAAAGGGAGAAGAGUUCUGAACUGGGAUAG